UUUUCCAUCUGAAUUUGGAUUGGAUGUGGAUCGUCACGAUUCAGUUGACCCAGUUAGAGAAGUUUUCGAGGAAAAAGCAAGAAUUCGAAGAAUAAUUGAAGCCGAAGGAAUUCCAUACACUUACCUAUGUUGUCAUGCCUUUACUGGUUACUUCUUACGUAACCUGGCACAGAUUGACAUCACUGUUCCUCCGAGGGACAAGGUAUUCAUUCUAGGAGAUGGAAAUGUGAAAGGUAAUAAACUAUAGCUGAAUUAGUUAUAAACGAUUUUAAUUGUUUCAGCACAAGUGAUAAAUCUCAGAGACACAACUCAGUUGCUUCAAAGUGUACAUGUUUUUUUUACUUGUUUCAGGAGCGUUUGUGACUGAGGCUGAUGUGGGAACUUUGACCAUCGAAGCAGCGAAUGACCCUAAUGCCUUGAACAAAACCGUGCACAUAAGACUCCCUAAGAAUUAUUUGACCAUAAAUGAGAUCAUCUCUUUGUGGGAGAACAAAAUUGGGAAGACUCUUGAAAAAACUUAUGUUUCAGAGGAAAAGGUUCUUAAAGACAUUAAGGGUCGGUAACAAAUUCAUUUUUAAAAAUAUAUGUGAAACUAAUUCUUGAUUUAUAAUGUUUUUUUUUGGUUUACUGCAGAGGCUUCUUUUCCAAACAAUUACCUGCUGGCAUUGUACCACUCACAGCAGAUAAAGGGAGAUGCAGUGUAUGAGAUUGACACUGCCAAAGAUCUUGAGGCUUCUGAAGCUUAUCCUAACGUGGAAUACACCACCGUCGAUGAAUAUUUGAAUCAGUUUGUCUGAUUUUUGAGUAAUUGAUGCAAUUUUUGUUGCUCUGCAAAGUGCUCAAUAAAACCUAUGCCUUUUCUUUUUUGCGAAAUUGGUUGCUUUUGUCCUAUGUUUCGGAAACCAUCCACAUUAAUGUAAUCUUUUUUUUUUUUACCUUAAUAAUACUCUAAUCUGCGGUCGGAAGCACUGUUUAAAUUUUUUUACAUCAUUCAUGAAUACGUGUCACUGCUCCAUUUUCUGGCGAGGGGUUCACACUGGACUCACACGUGGGUGUGAAAGAGUGAUAGCACUCCACAAUUAUACUCUACAAAUUGUUGCAUAAAUAAAAUUAAAAAAUAUAUAUGACUUAACGGAACAAAAAAAUAAAUGCUACAUUAUUUUAAGUAUUUUUAGACUUAUAUUUCCAAUUAAAAUUAUAUUUUUAUUUUGAUAAUCAAUGUAAUAAAAAUAGGCAUUAGCGGUAAUUAGUAAAGUAAAACUUUAAUUUGAUUGAAAAACACUUAUAACAAAAAUAUCUAAAGUACUCCUACAUCAAAAAAAAAAAAUUGGGAAUAAAGUAAUUGUUUUGUUUAAUUGUAUUUUCAUUUUCUUCCAAAUUCAAAUAUAUUACUAUUAUUUUUUUAAAAUCUUGUAGAAAUUUUAAAAAUUUAUGUGGUCUUUGAUUCUGAAAAGUAUGAAACGAUAGUCAAUAGAUAGAAUGGUAGAAUCAGUAAAAAAAAAAAAAAAAAGUAGUAUGAUCUUUUAAAAUAUACUAUAUAGGACGACGUUAUUGACACGUUCGAGUCCUUCUCAAUAAGCAUGAUGUUAGGUGCACACUAAAGUUAGUCAACAUUAUAUAAGAGAUAAUGAUAUAAGAGAGGAGGGAAAAAUAAUAAUAUAACAAUAGGGGAUAUAUAUGAAAAAAAAAAUUAAAAAAGAAAGUAGAAGUAUUAAAUAAGUAUUUAUAUUACUUAAGUGUUUUUGUAUUGUUGUUAUUAAAUUCAAAAAUAAAAACUAGUUUAGGAAUCCAAUUGAGAAAUAAAUACAAGUUGAGGGAUUCAAUUCAAAAAAGUAAUUCAGUGAUCAAAUUAAAAAUUGUCAAAUAAUUCAAAGACAUGUGAAUUAAUUUAAUCUUGUUUAAAUUACUUUUAUGAUUAACUAGCUGAAAAUAGAUGAAUCAUUGGAAAUUAGAGAGGCCAAAUGAUAAGCAAAAUAAGAACAAAUAUUUAUGAAGUAUUAAUUGGAAAUUAGAAGUUUUUGGAAAAUUUAAAUAUCCUUAUAUGAUGUUGAUCUUCAUCCACAAUCAGCAUUUGUAAAUGUAAAUUUGAAGUAGUUUUUCCCCUUUUUGUUUUCAUUAUCAGGUUCAUUCAUGUCUUGCCAAUAGAAGUUUUUGGAAAAUCAACUUUUGAGCUUGUACGCAGUUGUAGUUAUGUUCAUGAAACGUCUUCAGUUCACAAUAGCACUAUAAUUUAGAACUACUCUUUUAUGCUCAAUUUGCCACUUCAUUAGCUUUUUAUAACAUAUUAAGCAAGUUGCUUAAAAAAAAUACAUGUACGUCUUAUAAAAAAUGCUUUUGAUAUGUGUUGUACAUAGAAAACGUUCUUACCUAAAUUCAACUAUGUAUAAACUGAAACUAAUAUAGAAAAUGAAAGGUGUGUAUUUAACUUUUAGAAUUCAAUUAUGUGGAAAAAAAAACUUUUAAAAUUCAAUUUUAUCAAAAUUUAUGCAGAAACAAACCUAAAUAUAAUGACCCUGUGGUUGGUUUACUGAUUUGUCAUGAUUUCAUGUUCAGUUGACACAUUACAUACGAUUAAAUAUAAAAUUGCUACAAGAGUCGUUUAUAUUGACCAGUCAAUACGGUGUGUGUACAUGCAUGUGACUCUAUUCAAACCAUUUAUAACAAAAAAAUUUUAAAUAAUCAAUUUAAAUAAGAGAAAGAUUAUAAAAAAUAUAUAUUAAGAUAAAUUAAAUUAUUUUUAUAUUUGAAUACAUUAUAAUAAAAAUGGUUUUAAACUGAUUCAUUUCAUUUAGAUAACUUUAAAGUAUUUUUUUACAAUAAAAUUGCAAAAAAUAAGUGAAAUAAUUAUUUAUAGUAGUAAAUUUUGUAUUUAAAUCAAUUAUUUGUUAGGGAUAAGAUGGAAAAUUAAAACUAACCAAAAUACACAAAUUGGUAGCUUUUAAUUAUAAAUUUUAAGAUUUUAUUUAUCAUAGAAAAAUAUUUUCAUUUAUUCAGAUUUGAUCAUAAAAUACUACACAUUUGAAUAAUAUUGUCGUACUGAUAAUGUUUUCUAUCAAUUAAUUUAUAAUAUUUAAAAUAACAUAAAUCCAAACAUAUUUUGAUUAUUUUACGGUAAAGAGAGACAAAAAUAUGAGAAUGCAAUUAUUAUUGAUUAAAAACCAACAACUCUCUACUAUAGUCAAUAAAGAUGGGAUAUGUAAUUUUAACUACAAAGUUUUUUUUUUAGCAUAUUAAUAAAUUUUGAAGAUUGAUAUCAACAAUUUUUAAUAUUUUAUUAUAAAUAUGAAAAGAAAGUAAAUAAACUUUAAUGAAAUAAUAUUUUAGUAAAAAUUAUAAAAUAUUGAUUUGAUUUGAAUUUUAUUUUAAAUGAAAAUCAAAUCGAAUCGAAUCGUAUAUAUUUUUUAAGUUUGAUCCAAAUGAUUUUUUUGAUGAAAAAUCAAAUCGAACAACAAAUAUCUCUAAUAAUUUAUAACUAAACUAUAAUUGUUAUUAAUGAAUAAAAAUGAGUUUAAUGAUUAUACACUUUGAUGAUGUAAAAAAAAUUCUACCAUAAAUUUAUUGACUUUCAUUGAUAAAUAUUUUAAAAGUUAUAUUAAUAAUAAAUUAUGAUUGAAAAAUGUUUGAUUUUGUUUUACUUAUAUAUGUAUAGCUAUAGUGGUGGACCUACAGCGAGUCGAGGGUUUGUACUUAUACCCUCUCAUUUUUUUAAAAUUCAUCAAAUUUAUAAAUAAAAUUUUAUAUUUUUAUAUUUUAUUUUAUUUAUAUUUAUAUAAUUAAACCCAUUAAUUUUAUUUUUUAUAAUUUACACUCAGUCACUUAGGGUCUUGGAUCUGCCAAAUGUAUAGCUGGUUGAGAAUAUAUAUAAUCGGUUAGAUAAUAAGCUUUUCAUAAUUAAUUAUGAAAUGAUUAUAAUAAUCACUUUAUACAUUGGUUAUUAAAUAGCUAUGAAAAUGUCGUGACAAGCAGCCCCAGUUGUAAGUACAGAACUACACAUAUAUUCUUCGACAGUCAACUCAAUAGCCUAUCCAAAAAAAAGGUUGUUUCAGAAUUGAGAGCACCGGUCGCUGGACGGAAACAAAAUGGAUAUUUGUUUAAUUGACAUGAGAAAGAUGGAAAUUAAUUAGGGAAGAAAUGUCAUACAGAUCAAAGUUAGUGCCCUAUAAAUACUAACCAAAGCAUUGCUCUGCACCACAAGCCAUUGCUAGUUUAGUUCCAUACAUAGCAAGAAAAACACACUCACACACAGUGCUUGUUUAGACUAGUGAUCUUCCAUGGCUGUGAAGGAUAGAAUCCUGGUCUUGGGACCCACAGGAGCCAUUGGAAGGCACAUAGUUUGGGCAAGUUUAAAGGCAGGGAAUCCCACUUUUAUAUUGGUUAGGGACACCCCUGCCUCUGUUAACAAGCCAAGGCUUGUCACUGCUGCUAAUCCUGAAACCAGGGAAGAACUCAUUCAGAGCUUCCAAAAUUCUGGAGUUACUCUAAUCCAGGUUGAUGCUUUCAUUUCAAGUCUGCUGACAUCAUUAGGUUCCGAUAUCCGAAGUAUUUGAGAACUUAAUUUAUCUGUUUAAUGGGAUAUGCAGGGAGAUCUGAAUGAUCAUGAAAGUCUGGUUAAAGCAAUCAAGCAAGUUGAUGUAGUAAUCUGCUCAUUUGGUAGACUACUAAUAGAAGAUCAGGUCAAGAUCGUUGCAGCAAUAAAAGAAGCUGGAAACGUUAAGGUGCGCACUUUGCUCCCUUUUUGUUGUAUGAUAAUUUUGCUGUUGGGUUAAAUUAAACUAUUCUUACUUUCUUGUGUGAACAGAGAUUUUUUCCAUCUGAAUUUGGGCUGGAUGUGGACCGUCACGAUGCAACUGAGCCAGUCAGAGAAGUUUUCGAGGAAAAAGCGAAAAUCCGAAGAGUAAUUGAAGCUGAAGGAAUUCCAUACACUUACCUAUGUUGCCAUGCCUUUACUGGUUACUUCUUACGUAACCUUGCACAGAUUGACAUCACUGUUCCUCCUAGGGACAAGGUUUUCAUUCAAGGAGAUGGAAAUGUCAAAG
rnacentral:lncRNA from 1 species